rnacentral:rRNA from 1 species
AGUGGGGAAUAUUGCACAAUGGAGGAAACUCUGAUGCAGCAACGCCGCGUGGAGGAUGACACAUUUCGGUGCGUAAACUCCUUUUAUAUGGGAAGAUAAUGACGGUACCAUAUGAAUAAGCACCGGCUAACUCCGUGCCAGCAGCCGCGGUAAUACGGAGGGUGCAAGCGUUACUCGGAAUCACUGGGCGUAAAGCGCGCGCAGGCGGCUUGAUAAGUUGGAUGUGAAAGCCUACGGCUCAACCGUAGAACUGCAUCCAAAACUGUCAAGCUAGAGUGUGGGAGAGGAAGAUGGAAUUAGUUGUGUAGGGGUAAAAUCCGUAGAGAUAACUAGGAAUACCAAAAGCGAAGGCAAUCUUCUGGAACACUACUGACGCUGAGGCGCGAAGGCGUGGGGAGCAAACAGGAUUAGAUACCCUGGUAGUCCACGCAGUAAACGAUGAAUGUUAGUCGUCGGAGGCCUAGUGUCUUCGGUGAUGCAGCUAACGCAUUAAACAUUCCGCCUGGGGAGUACGGUCGCAAGAUUAAAACUCAAAGGAAUAGACGGGGACCCGCACAAGUGGUGGAGCAUGUGGUUUAAUUCGAAGAUACGCGAAGAACCUUACCUAGCCUUGACAUAUAUUAGAAUCCACCAGAGAUGGAGGAGUGCCUUCGGGAGCUUUUAUACAGGUGCUGCACGGCUGUCGUCAGCUCGUGUCGUGAGAUGUUGGGUUAAGUCCCGCAACGAGCGCAACCCUCGUCACUAGUUACUAACGGUUCGGCCGAGGACUCUAGUGAGACUGCCUUCGUAAGGAGGAGGAAGGUGAGGACGACGUCAAGUCAUCAUGGCCCUUACGGCUAGGGCAACACACGUGCUACAAUGGCCAGGACAGUGAGACGCGAUACCGCGAGGUGGAGCAAAUCUAUAAACCUGGUCUCAGUUCGGAUUGUAGUCUGCAACUCGACUACAUGAAGCUGGAAUCACUAGUAAUCGUAGAUCAGCUAUGCUACGGUGAAUACGU